AUGACUGACCAGCUCUUUGCUAUGAAGAACUGUGGUGAUCCAACUAAGAAGAUCCUCAGGUGGAAAUCUGCUUUUGCUUGUGUACCAUUUGAUGAACUGGGAACUGACAGCAUAAAUGAGAACUAUGUGUCCAAAUGUUUAUCUGAACUGGCAAUGCAUUGCUUUGAUUGUGAUACAUAUUGUAAUGUCUCAUAUAUUUGAAUACAUACCCCUACUCAUCACUUGAUGGUGCCAGAAAAGAGAAUGUUGCUUUACUGCAUCCCACACAAGUAUUCCUGUGUCAAUAGGUUAAAGACAACAGUUAUCCUUUUAUGUAUUAAUCAUGGCACAGAUGGCAUGUUAAUUGUCCAAGUAGGUGGACAUAUAUGAAUAAAUCCUUUGAUUCCUAAAAAGACAUUUCAGAUAUUUCCACAGAAGACAAACAAUGAGACUGAUUUGCAUUAGAACUGAAUAGUUUUCUUCUUUAUAUGAUGACCUUUUCAGAAUUUAUCUCGUCUGUUGCUGUACUAAUUUGAGAACAGAUCUUUUUCUUUUUAGAAUGUUACAAAAUAGAAAUUAGUCAGUGAAAAAAUUAACUCCCCUUUGUCUAUCGUGCUGCCGGUGGUAUUAUGAGACUAAACAGUGGAUCACAGCAUUUCCCCAGAAGAUAUUAAAGCCAUUUAUAGGUUGCUUCUGUGCUAGAGGGCUAGAUUUAGCAAAGGCCUGCCCAUUCUUGGAGAGUGGAAUGAAUGCAAUCUGGGUUCCUGUUUCCAUGUAUGCCUUUGGGCAUUUCAAGCUGCAUAUUACGUAUGGUACUGUAGCCCUAAGGUACGAUAUUUGUCAGUGCAUUCCAGGUACUCAUAUGUCUAGAAACAUGUCUGACUGGAAUGGUAUGAGACAAACUGGAGAAAAAUAAUUAAUUGCGACUUUAGUAUGGUAAUAGUGGAUAGUGUCACGACCCAGGCUGCAGAGCACCAAUAACCAUACACAGAGGCCAGAAUCUAUCUAAUAUCUUUAUUAAGGAAAUAUGUAAAGUCAAUAAAAGUAAAUGUAGAAUAUAGUUCAGAAGAAGACCUUUCAGGAAAGGUCAAAUAUAGUCCAGGAAAACAAUGUCCAAUAUGAAAUAGUAAGGUCCAAAGUUGUAAUCCAGUAACCGAAACACUCACUUUGCCAAGCAAAGUGAGGGGAGAUGACAAGGUCCUUUAGUCCAUGAAACUUAGGCAAGGCAAGGAAAUAACUUGAUUCUUGGUACACAAAGCUUGAUUCAAGGCAACAAGGAACGUGGAGCAAGGACAGGAUCCGUGGUAAAUUCGUGGCGAGGUCCAAAAACAAGGCAAGGUCCGUGGAGCAAGGCAAGGUCCUGGGAAACAAGGCAGGGCUGGAAACAGGAACAAGAACUCAACCGCGGGAGUAGCGUAGUCCACACACAACCUACUCCCGUAGCUGACGAAUUGACUCCGCAAGACUCCUUCGUGGGCAAAACACCUAAGUAGGGUCUCGGUUUCCCGCCAAGAGCAGAUUCUCUGGGGAACCAGAAGCGA
rnacentral:lncRNA from 1 species